rnacentral:rRNA from 1 species
GAUGAACGCUGGCGGCGUGCUUAACACAUGCAAGUCGAACGAUGAAGCGCAGCUUUCUGGGUGGUGUAGUGGCGAACGGGCGGGUAAGUCGCGAGUAACCAGCCUUUCUCUAUGGGUUAAGUCAGGUAAACUGGCUCUAGUUAAGGCUAGGUACGUCUAUCGACUGGUGGGUGUUGGAAAGAAUUAUCGGUUUUGGAUGGACUCUCGGCCUAUCAGCUUGUUGGUGAGGUAAUGGCUCACCAAGGCGAAGACGGGUAGCCGACCUGAGAGGGUGACCGGCCACACUGGGACUGAGGCACGGCCCAGACUGCUACGGGAGGCAGCAGUGGGAAGUAUUGCGCAAUGGGCGAAAGCCUGAUGCAGCGACGCCGCGUGAGGGAUGACGGCCUUCGGGUUGUAAACCUCUUUCAGUAGGGAAGAAGCGAAAGUGACGGUACCUGCAGAGGAAGCAACGGCUAACUACGUG